GCGUUGCAAAAGUUGCUAACUCGUUGGGACCUUUUCCUUCCAUUCGGAUUCGGGUUUUGAUUGUAAGGGGUAUAUUUUAUUCAUGUAGAUUUCCGAUUUGCAAGCAAUUUGAUUUUAUAAAUUUGCUUAGCGAUGUUCAAUUGAAAAUGAAUCGCUUCGUAUUUUUGUUCUGUUAUUAUCAUAUAUUAAUAGGUCGAUUUGCUAGAGUUUGGGAGUUUUGAAUCAGUCGGUUCAUGUUCAUCAUUAUGUUGUGUGUGGUUUUGGAUGAUCAUGUGUGUUUCAUGGAUGAUGAUGAUGUUGAUUUUCAAGGAAAAUUUUGUGGGAUUUUGGUACUUGUAAACGAGAAUUAAGUGUGAUUAUUUUGCAGAUAAUUCUUAAGUUAACACGAGGAAGAUUGGUCAAAAUUUGAUUAUCAAGCAUGUUGAUUUGGUGAUGUUGAGAUUUGGAUCGUCCUAAUUGGCAGGGGACCUUUUAAGGAUUUUCGUUUGCUUAUAAACGAGCAGCUUCAUUUGUGGGAGAUCGGUCAAGAUCCGUGAAACUGUCGUUUGAACCUGAUCCUCUUCUGCUUAUUUUGAAUUCGUUGUUUCAAUCUAUUUCUUGGAAUGCUUUAUGAACUUAGCUGCAUAUCUUUUCCUAGGUGACGCGAUCAGGAGUUGGGAGUUCCGAAUUUAAUAUUAUAUUACAUUGAUUUGUUACACAAUGAUGAUAUUUGGAUUUGCUAAUUGUAGGUGGUCCCCAUGGAUACUCUUGGGGGACCUUUUGCGGUAUUCCGUAAUUAUUUUUCAGCUUAUUCUUAAUUUUACAAGUGGAUGAUUGGUGAAGGAUCUCUCUUGUUUUGGGAAGUUUAUCGACGUGUUGGAAUUGUUGUUUGAACCUGAUUCUCUUCUGCUUAUUCACAAUUCAUUGAUUCGAUACAUUUCUUGGAAUGUUUGUGCUUAGCUGGAUGUUGUUUACUAGGUUGUUAUGGAUAUGUGGAUGGCGAUGAAGAGUAGAGGAUGCUUUCAGGAGUUCGAGUGUUUGGAAUUUAAUCGGUUCAUGUUUUUGAUCUGUUCUGUGCUUUUGGAUGAUACAAAUGCAAUUUUCAAAUACAUUAAUAAGGAUGAUAUUCAGAUUUGCUAAUUGUAGGUGGUUUUCAUGGAUGAUAGUUUUGGGGGACCUUUUGCGGUAUUCCGUGAUUAUUUUUCAGCUUAUUCUUAAUUCUUACUUUUACAAGUGGAAGAUUGGUCAAAGAUCGUUUUUGGAUCUGUUGUUUGAACGUGGUUUUCUUCUGCUUUUUCACAAUUCAUUGAUUCGGUACAUUUCUGGGAAUGUUUUAUGUGCUUAGCUGGAUGUUGUUUACUAGGUUGUUAUGGAUAGUGGAAGGCAAUGGAGUAGAGCAUGCUUUUAGGAGUUCGGGUGUUUGGAAUUUCUGGGGGUCUAUCGGAAACAACCUUUCUACUUCUUUAGAGGUAGAGGUAUGGACUGUGUACAUCUUAUCCCCAGACCCCACUAGGUGGGAAUACACUGGGUUUGUUGUUGUUGUUGCUUUUGUGGAUGAUCCGAUGCAAUUUUCAUAUACAUGAAUUUCCUUACGUGAGGAUGAUAUUUAGAUUUGCUAAUUGUAGGUGGUUCUCAUGGAUGAUACUUUUGGGGGGGACCUUUUGCGGUAUUCCCGUGAUUAUUAUUCAGCUUAUUCUUAAUUUUACAAGUGGAAGAUUGGUAAAGAUCUCUCUUGUUUUGGGAAAUGUUUUGGGAAAUUUAUCGACGUCGUGGAUCUGUUGUUUGAACCUGGUUCUCUUCUGCUUAUUCACAAUUCAUUGAUUCGAUACAUUUUUUGGAAUGUUUGAUGUGCUUAGCUGGAUGUUGUUUACUAGGUUGUUAUGGAUACGUGGGUGGCGAUGGAAGAGUAGAGGAUGCUUUCAGGAGUUCAGGGGUCUCGGUUCAUGUUUUUGUUUUGGUGGUUUUCAUGGAUGAUACUUUUGGGGGACCUGUUGCGUUAUUCCGUGAUUAUUUUUCAGCCUAUUCUUUUUGGGUGGUUAUGGAUACGUGGGUGGCGAUGGAAGAGUAGAGGAUGCUUUCAGGAGUUCAGGGGUCUCGGUUCAUGUUUUUGUUUUGGUCUGUGCUUUUGGAUGAUCCGACGCAAUUUUCAAAUAUAUUAAUUUCCUUGCGUGAGGAUGAUAUUUAGAUUUGCUAAUUGUAGGUGGUUUUCAUGGAUGAUACUUUUGGGGGACCUGUUGCGGUAUACCGUGAUUAUUUUUCAGCCUAUUCUUUUUGGGUACUUUUUGCGGUGUUCCGUGAUUAUAUUUCAGCUUAUUCUUAAUUUUUCAAGUGGUCGAAGAUCUCUUUCUUGUUAUUCACAAUUCAUUGAUUCGAUACAUUUCUUGGAAUGUUUGAUGUGCUUAGCUGGAUGUUGUUUACUAGGUGGUUAUGGAUACGUGGGUGGCGAUGGAAGAGUAGAGGAUGCUUUCAGGAGUUCAGGGGUCGACGCAAUUUUCAAAUACAUUAAUUUCCUUGCGUGAGGAUGAUAUUUAGAUUUGCUAAUUGUAGGUGGUUUUCAUGGAUGAUACUUUUGGGGGACCUGUUGCGGUAUUCUGUGAUUAUUUUUCAGCCUAUUCUUUUUGGGUACUUUUUGCGGUGUUCCGUGAUUAUUUUUCAGCUUAUUCUUAAUUUUUCAAGUGGUCGAAGAUCUCUUUCUUGUUUUGGGAAGUUUAUCAACGUCAUGGAAUUGUGUUUGAACCUGAAUUCUCUUCUGCUUAUUCACAAUUCAUUGAUUCGAUACAUUUCUUGGAAUGUUUUAUGUGCUUAGCUGGAUGUUGUUUACUAGGUUGUUAUGAAUACGUGGAUGGUGAUGAGAGUAGAGGAUGCUUUCAGGAGUUCGGGUGUUUGGAAUUUAAUCGGUUCAUGUUUUUGUUUUGUUUUGUGCUUUUGGAUGAUCAGAUGCAAUUUUCAAAUGCAUUGGUUUCCUUACGUGAGGAUGAUAUUUAGAUUUGCUAAUUGUAGGUGGUUUUCAUGGAUGAUUCUUUUGGGGUACCUUUUGCGGUAUUGUGUGAUCAUUUUUCAGCUUAUUCUUAAUUUUUGAGUGGAAGAUUGGUCAAA